UCAACGUUGACAUGCAUAUAAAUAAUAGAUUAAUUGCAUACAGCUCUCCGGAAACAUAUUGAAUAACGAAUAUGUUCUUAUAAAGUUUAACUUUUCAUGUUUUUUCCUAUAAAAAUUCUAACGUUUUUCAAAUAUCCCCCUACUAAUAGGGUUUGUUAAAAAAAUAUAGUUAACCACAGAUAAAAUAUUUAAUCCUGAAUAGUGAAUAAGAUAAAUUAAUCUUUUUAUCUGUCUUAUAUUAUUUGUGAUGGUAUAAAGAAAAAAAAGAUGACCGUUAAAAAAUUUAGAGAGGAUAUUUUUACAUAAUUCUAACAGUUAGACUUUUGAAGUGACAUAUUUGUGAUGGUUAUAAUGUCAUUACACUUAUCUUCUAUUAAAAAAUAAGCAGUGUUUUAAUAGUAACAAACCAAAGAGGCAAAUAUGAAUAUCACUGAAUUUUUACAGGAAUAAAUAUAAAAAGUUGAACUUUAUAGAGAUAUAUUUGUUAUUUGAUAUGUUUACAAGGAGCUGUAUAAAAUUAAGCCAAUAAUAAAUGUAUAUUUUUUAUUCA
rnacentral:lncRNA from 1 species